GCUUCUUCAAUCCUGCAUCUUUGGGCUCCUUAACUAAGGUCUGGUUCAAGUUCAAAAUAACAAGAAAAAUUAUUAUGUUAGUUAGCUACAUAUAUANNNUAGUUAGCUACAUAUAUAAUUUUCCUUUUCUUUUUUCAGUAAGCUUCUCUCUCUCUCUCUCUCUCUCUACUGGUUCAGACAAGUUGGUAUGUAUAUAUGCUUGACAGGUAAAAUAUACUGACUGACC
rnacentral:lncRNA from 1 species